rnacentral:rRNA from 1 species
GAUGAACGCUGGCGGCGUGCCUAAUACAUGCAAGUCGAGCGAACAGACGAGGAGCUUGCUCCUCUGACGUUAGCGGCGGACGGGUGAGUAACACGUGGAUAACCUACCUAUAAGACUGGGAUAACUUCGGGAAACCGGAGCUAAUACCGGAUAAUAUAUUGAACCGCAUGGUUCAAUAGUGAAAGACGGUUUUGCUGUCACUUAUAGAUGGAUCCGCGCCGCAUUAGCUAGUUGGUAAGGUAACGGCUUACCAAGGCAACGAUGCGUAGCCGACCUGACAGGGGGAGCGGCAAAAAUAGAACAGAGACACGGGACAGAGUACUACGGGAGGCAGCAGGAGGGAAUCGUAAGCAAGGGUCGAAAGCCUGACGGAGCAACGACGCGGGAGUGAGAAAGGUAUUCGGAUCGUAAAACGCUGUUAUUAGGCAAGAACAAAUGGGUAAGUAAAUAUGCACGGCUGGACGGGACCUAAUCAGAAAGCCACGGCUAACUACGAG